rnacentral:rRNA from 1 species
UACCCGCAGCUCAAGUGGUGGUCAUUAUUAUUGGGCCUAAAGCGUCCGUAGCUGGCUUGUUAGAUGCCUGGGUAAAUCGAUGCGCUUAACGCAUCGAAUUCCGGGUAGACCGGCAAGCUCGAGGCCGGGAGAGGCGUGAGCUACUCAAGGGGUAGGGGUAAAAUCCUGUAAUCCUUUGGGGAGGACCAGUGGCGAAGGCGUCACGCUAGAACGGCUCUGACAGUGAGGGACGAAGCCCUGGGGCGCAAACCGG